AUAUCAAUAAGCGGAGGAAAAGAAACCAACAGGGAUUGCCUUAGUAACGGCGAGUGAAGCGGCAACAGCUCAAAUUUGAAAUCUGGCCUCUGGCCCGAAUUGUAAUUUGCAGAGGAUGCUUCGAGCAUAGCACGGUCUGAGUUCCCUGGAACGGGACGCCAGAGAGGGUGAGAGCCCCGUACAGAUCAGUGCUUCUGUUCAUGUGAGGCUCCUUCGACGAGUCGAGUUGUUUGGGAAUGCAGCUCUAAAUGGGUGGUAAAUUUCAUCUAAAGCUAAAUAUUGGCCAGAGACCGAUAGCGCACAAGUAGAGUGAUCGAAAGAUGAAAAGCACUUUGGAAAGAGAGUUAAAUAGCACGUGAAAUUGUUAAAAGGGAAGCGCUCGCAACCAGACUUGCGCGUAGCUGAUCAUCUAGCGUUCUCGCUGGUGCACUCAGUUACGCUCAGGCCAGCAUCAGUUUUGGUGGCCGGAUAAAGGCCCUAGGAACGUAGCUGCUCCGGCAGUGUUAUAGCCUAGGGUGCCAUGCGGCCCGCCGAGACUGAGGUCUGCGCAUCGCAAGGACUGCUG
rnacentral:rRNA from 1 species